rnacentral:lncRNA from 1 species
UUACAUCUUUAAAAAAACUAAUCAACUAUAAUUGUUCAAUGAAAGAGAACUCGUUCCUUUCCCAUUGAAACGAUAUGUAUAGUUAGCGGUGGAAACAACAGCAACAGCAAAUGAGGUCUGUUCAGAAUAGAUUUUGGAGGGGUUCCUUUUACAUGUCUCUACCCCUUUUCAACUUAUUUGACGAACUUUGUGAAUGUAAAUUCAUCAUUCUUUUGUUUAGUCACAAGUCGAUAAGUCGCAACAUUUUUUUGGGCACCAUUCACAAUGUACGACAUCAAUGGUUCUCCAAACAACCCUGGUAGCUAAGCAUGCCACUAGUGAAACCAUUAGCUUAACCUAUGUUUACCUUGCAUCUAACUAUGCUAUUUAACUUGAACGAAUGAAUUAGCUUCCCUUGACAAAAAUAACAUACAUAAAACAUUAAAUGUGUUCUUUGAAAGAAUUAAGCUAUAUUGCCCGCGUGUUGUUCU